rnacentral:rRNA from 1 species
CGGAGGGGUGCGUAGCGUUUUAUUCCGUAGUUACUGGGUCGUAAAUCCCGCCGUGUAGCCUGCUUUAUUAUGCCGCCUUGCGAAAAUCCCCUGGGGUCUACCUCGUGAGCGGCCUCCUGGACCUGUCGAGGUUAGAGUGCAGGAGAGAAGGUCGACUACUUCGCGGUAGCGCCGCAAAUGCGUAGAGAUAUGGAGAAUACCAGUGUCGAAGGGGGCUCUCUUGGCCUGUCACUGACACUGAGUUGCGAAAGCGUGUGUAGCACACACGGAUUAGAUACCCCCUGUAGUGCACGCGCGUAUACUGAUGUCUCUCCAGCCGUUGGGUGCCUAGCGCGCAUUUGUGGCGAAGUUUUCUCGAUAUAUUUCGCCCCUGGGGAGUAACGCCGCCAAGUUUAAAACUCAAUGAAUUUUGACGGGGGCCGUCACAAGCGGUGGACCAGGUGGUUUAUUUCGAUGCACCGGGAAGACCCUUACUUACUCUUGCCAUCCUGCGAAUUUGGUAGAGAUACCUUAGUCCCUUCGGGAACGCAGAGACAGGUGCUGCAUGGCUGUCGUCAGCUCGUGUUGUGAAAUGUUGGGUUAAGUCCCGUAACGAGCGCAACCCUUGUCCUUAUUUGCCAGCGCGUAAUGGCGGGAACUCUAAGGAGACUGCCGGUGACAAACCGGAGGAAGGUGGGGACGACGUCAAGUCAUCAUGGCCCUUACGAGUAGGGCUACACACGUGCUACAAUGGUCGGUACAAAGGGUUGCCAACUCGCGAGAGUGAGCCAAUCCCGAAAAGCCGAUCUCAGUCCGGAUCGGAGUCUGCAACUCGACUCCGUGAAGUCGGAAUCGCUAGUAAUCGUGGAUCAGAAUGCCACGGUGAAUACGUUCCCGGGCCUUGUACACACCGCCCGUCACACCACGGGAUAGGGUUGCACCAGAAGUGGUGAGCAUUACUCACGAGGUACGAUCAUGCAGAGUGGUAGC